UACGUAGGGUGCGAGCGUUAAUCGGAAUUACUGGGCGUAAAGCGUGCGCAGGCGGCGGCUCAAGUCAGGUGUGAAAUCCCCGGGCUUAACCUGGGAAUUGCGCUUGAAACUAGGUCGCUAGAGUGUGGCAGAGGGGGGUGGAAUUCCACGUGUAGCAGUGAAAUGCGUAGAGAUGUGGAGGAGCACCGAUGGCGAAGGGCAGCCCCCCUGGGUCAACACUGACGCUCAUGCACGAAAGCGUGGGGAGCAAACAGG
rnacentral:rRNA from 1 species